rnacentral:lncRNA from 1 species
CGUGGCGCCGCGCCUCCGGGUGUUGGGGAGUCCGGGAUGAUGGGGAAUCCGGGGCUCGCCCUAGUCGCGGGGACACCGCCUUCCAGGAGCUGUCCCCAGGCAAACUCACAGACAUCUUCAAAGAGCCUUCUUGGACAUUCUGCUUUUUGCUCCUCAUAACAGGCUUCGAUGGAGUUUCUCUCUUAUUUUCCAGGCUGCAGUACAGUGGCGUGAUCUCGGCUCACUGCAACCUCCACCUCCCAGGUUCAAGCGAUUCUCCUGUCUUAGCCUCACGAGUAGCCGGGAUUACAGGCACAUGCCCCCAUUCCCAGCUAAUUUUUGUAUUUUUAGUAGUGACGGGGUUUCAUCAUAUUGGUCAGGCUGGUCUCAAACUCCUGACCUCAGGUGAUCCGCCUCGGCCUCCCAAAGUGUUGGGAUUACAGGCGUGAGCCACCCACUGUAUCUCUUGUUCGGAGGAAUAUCUAAUCAAGAAAAUCAUUUUUACUGUUUUUAUUUUUUGGUUUGUUCGUUUUUUUCCUGUGAGAUGGAGUUUCACUCUUGUUGCCCAUCCUGGUGUACAAUGGCGCGAUCUCGGCUCACUUCAACCUCCGCCUCCCAGUGCGUCCGGAAUUGGUGGGUUCUUGGUCUCACUGACUUCAAGAAUGAAGCUGCGCACCCUCACGAACUUGUCAGAUAUGCUCUCCCAGCCCUUCUUACUAAGGACAAUGGGUACUUGUCCAAGCCCAUCCACCAUUCUGUCAGUCGCAUCCUAAGAAGAGAUCAGAGAAGAUUCUCUCCUAGACCACGCAAAAUAGACCGAUCAUCUUUGGCACGUGUGGCCAUGACCCACAUGAGGAUUUAUAAGCGACCUAGUCACCGGGACUUCAUGUGGUUACCUUUUCUGAAUGGCUCCCGGUUCUCCUCUGCUUCCCUGUUGACUCGGUUUUGUUCUGGUUCAACAGCAGACCCCUGGUCAUCAAGUUCAUCUUCUGUUUCAUCAUCACUGUAGGGAACCACUUCGUCAUUAGGCUGAGAAUCCUCGUCAAAUGUCGUUUCUGAGUCUCUUUCUGUACUCAUUCUGCUGGCAAAUUGGAACUACCUGCUUAAAAGGAAAGAGAAACCAGAGUGAAUUAUGACUCUUGCCCAGUUUUUGGUUGAAUACUGCCUGCAUGCUGCUACAAUGCCCCUUUUACAGAACAUUGUCUAACAUGUAAAUAUUCUGGAAUAGUACCCCCAAAUUCAACUUGACAUGAAGACAAGAACAAAACCAUUCAGUACUGAUUAAAUGCUUGGGAUAAUGUGCAACAAUCUAGAUGAUCCAAAGAGUAUUUGAUGACAUUGCAUUAAUGACCUUAAGUUAAUAGCUGCACCCUUCUGGUUACCGCUAGAACUGAGCUUUCGCUCGCCGUCCACCACUGCUGUUUUGCUGCCGUCGCAGACCCGCCGCUGACUUCCAUCCCUCCAAUCCAGCAGGGCGCCCGCUGUGCUCCUGAUCCAGGGAAGCACCCGUUGCCACUCCUGAUCGCGCUAAAGGCUUGCCAUUGUUCCUGCAUGGCUAAGUGCCUGGUUUCGUCCUAAUCAAGCUGAACACUAGUCACUGGGUUCCACGGUUCUCUUCCGUGACCCACGACUUCUAAUAGAGCUAUAACACUCACCGCACGGCCCAAGAUUCCAUUCCUUGGAAUCCGUGAGGCCAAGAACCCCAGGUCAGAGAACACGAGGCUUGCCACCAUCUUGGAAGUGGCCUGCCGCCAUUUUGGAAGUGGCCCACCACCAUCUUGGGAGCUCUGGGAGCAAGGACCCCUGCCUCCUGGGCUCAAGCAAUUCUCCCACCUCAGCCUCCUGAGUAGUUGAGACUAUAGGCAUCUGGAUAUUAAGACUGUCUCCAGCCCUUUGAGGUUGAGAGAGGAAGCAAGCACGGAGGAAUGGAUUUGACAACCCACAUGUCCGUGACUCAAAGCAAGCAAGGCCUUGCACAACCAACUCGCCACCCACACAAUCUGCACAGUCUCAGUGAGAAAGCAGGAGCAGGGAGCUCUCCGCUGAGAGUGAAGAAAUGUCCUCAACUCGACUUCUCUGCAGUGUGCAUGUGUGUGAAACACAGACACACACGGGAGGAAUUUGGCUCUGUCAUUUUAGUGUACC